UACGUAGGGGGCAAGCGUUGUCCGGAUUUAUUGGGCGUAAAGAGCGUGUAGGCGGUUCGGUAGGUCCGUUGUGAAAACUCGAGGCUCAACCUCGAGACGCCGAUGGAAACCAUCGAACUAGAGUCCGGAAGAGGAGAUUGGAAUUCCUGGUGUAGCGGUGAAAUGCGCAGAUAUCAGGAGGAACACCACAGUCGAAGGCAGAUCUCUGGGACGUAACUGACGCUGAGACGACGAAGCGUGGGGAGCAAACAGG
rnacentral:rRNA from 1 species